AGGGUCUUUCACUUCGAUAACCCUAUUUGACCGAGCUGUUCGUCUGGGAAAGGUGAAAGUCUGUUGAAAGUCGAAGACAGCCUUCAAGAAAUGCGACUACUUGUUGGAAAGGACGAGCAACUGAAGACAUGACACGGUUGAGAUAUUUUAGCCAUGUUUGAAAGCGGCAGGUUAAAUACAGAAAAAUCGUCGAUGACAUAAAGAUACAUGUCGAGCGUACGGACAGUGAAAGAACGCGAACUCUGGCAGUGGUACAAGAGAUGAAGAUCAAGAAGAAGAUAGAGGAGUACGUUAUUAUUUUUCCUGUCCUAAUCUUAACUUGUUUUAGAUUUUCGUUUAGAUGAGGAGGAGGCUGA